rnacentral:rRNA from 1 species
AGAAUCAACGCUGGCGGCGUGCCUAACACAUGCAAGUCGAACGAGAAAGUGGAGCAAUCCAUGAGUAAAGUGGCGACCGGGUGAGUAACACGUGACUAACCUACCUUCGAGUGGGGGAUAACCCCGGGAAACCGGGGCUAAUACCGCAUAACAUCGCAAGAUCAAAGCAGCAAUGCGCUGGAAGAGGGGGUCGCGGCUGAUUAGCUAGUUGGCGGGGUAACGCCCACAAGGCGAAGAUCGGUA